ensembl:lncRNA
AGCUUUUACUACCUGUCAACAAGGAAGAAACGCCACUGUAAAUUUGCAGGCCUCAUUUUCCCAGCACAGUGCCCUUCCCUGCAUGCAGCCACUUGCUGGGGUGCUCACAGCACUCUCCUCCCUGGGGAAGAAGGCCCCUCAAAUGUAAACCGUCCCCCUCAUGGCACACUGCAUUUUGGUUCGGACAGACUUCUGCUUCUAUCAGAAGCACAGCCAAGCAUUUCUGACUGAUAUCUUUCAAUCUCUGCUCUACCCGAUGACUGAAAGUGAAGGAAGAGAAGGAACAGGUCCAUGUUUCCAUACAUUUUGGCAGACACUUCUUUGCAGUCUCCAGUGAGCAGACACCUGUGGAACUGAGGCAGGCCACGCCCUUCCGCCUGCUGGGGUGCCGCCAUUUUAGGCAGGUGCCAUGACAGGUGUGUGUGGCUGCAGCUCCUCGGGUAACCUGCAUUUUAAGCCUGCAAGAAAGGCUAGUUCUUUGUGAUGCAGGUGGGCUGGCAGCCUAGGUGGCCUCAACCCAAAAAGCCACAAGUGGGGCCUUUCCUGUGCCUCACCCUCCUCUUGCCAAAUCUCCGUCCUUCCCUCUCGUCCAGUUGGAAGCCCCUGGGCCUCACCUUACCUUCCUGCCCACACCCCAACAGAAGGGCAGCGUAGCUUCCAAUUUUCCAGUCCACUACUGUGGAGUUUUUAGGGAACAUCCCUUUGCUCACUGACAGUCAGAAGACCAAACAGCACACAUGUACCAGCAACUGAAGUCCCCGACUCCAGCUCAAAUGCUUCCUGGUGAUCCAGCCCUGGGCCCCCAUCCAUCAGCAGAGGACCAUGGCAGAGACCAAGCAGCAAGUAACCUCCUCAGAAGGCAUUUUCUUGCCUUAUGCCCUCAUCGUGCCCUGUUCCACCUUCAGUGGGCUGCAAAACCUCCUUCCCCACAGGAACCCAUGCCACUCACAGGCCAGCUGGUCUGCCUACUUUGUCCUUCAGCAACUGAGCCUUCUCUUUUCCAGGUGAACAAGCCCAGUUCCUUCAGCCUGUCCUCAUAGGAGAGGUGCUUCAGCCCUUGGAUCAUCUUUAUGGCCCUCCUCUGGACCCCCUCCAAAAGCGCCACAUCUUUCCCAUGUUUGGAGCCCCAGACUUGGAUGCAGUAAUGCAGCUGGGCCUCACAAGGGCAGAAUCGAGGAGGACAAUCGCCUCCCUUGCCCUGCUGGCCUUCUCUCUUCUGAGAGAACCUAGGAUACCAUUGGCCUUCCAGGCUGCAAGCACACACUGUUGGCUCACAUUUAGUUUUUCAUCAAACAGGAACUCUAAGUCCUUCUUGGCAGGGCUGCUCUCAAGGAUUUCUUUUCCCAGUUUGAAAACAUAUUUGGUAUUACCUUGACCCAGGUGCAAAACCUUGUGCUUUGCUUUGUUGACUCUCAUUAGGUUCACGCAGGACUAUCUUUUGAGUUUGUCAAGGUCCCUCUGGGUGGCAUCCCUUCCUUCUGCUAUAUCAACUGCACCACUCAACUUGGCAUCACCAGCAAACUUGCUGAGGGUGGCCUUCUCUUCUCCAAGCUGAACGAGCUCAGCUCUCUCAGCCUGUCUUCAUAGGACGGGUGCUCCAGCCCUCUGAUCACCUCUGUGGCUCUCCUCUGGACCUGUUCCAAAAGUUCCACAACUUUCUUCAGCUGGGAGCCCCAGGCCUGGACACAGUACUUCAGAUGGGACCUCACGAGGGCAGAGUGGAGGGUGCCAAUGACCUCCCUCACCCUGCUGGCCACCUUCCUUUUGAUGCAGCCCAGGAUACUGUUGGCCUUCUGAGCUGCAGGGCCCACACUUGCGAGAUGAAAUCAGCCUGACUGCUUUUCAUUAGCUGGUGGGAUGAGUGUUUUGGUCUUGGUCAUGUUCCCAGAGACCAGCUUUUUGUCUACAUUGCUGGCCUGAACCACAAGGGAUGAUAAUAUUGCUGGUGGAAAUUGGCAAGUAUGGGGCAAUUAGUGCCUCUGGCUGUGGAAAAAAGUCAGCCAGAUAAAUACACAGAUACGUGCAAGCUAUCAUUUAUUAUUCCCUAGGAAAGAUCUUGGGGGUCAUUGUGGGUAUUUAAUAAACUGUCUAGUUAGUGCACAGGACCUAGAAAGUAAUUGUAGGAAAAGAUAGACCCUAAAACAUCCAUUCUGUUACCAUGCAAGUAGAUGUUGUCACCCACCUCUUUAAUACUGUAGUCAGUUCUAGUAACUUCAUAAAGUUUAUAGAAGAAAUAAAAAA